GUCCCAGCCGCCGCGGUAAUACGGAGGGUGCGAGCGUUAAUCGGAAUUACUGGGCGUAAAGCGCGCGUAGGUGGCUUGAUAAGCCGGUUGUGAAAGCCCCGGGCUCAACCUGGGAACGGCAUCCGGAACUGUCAGGCUAGAGUGCAGGAGAGGAAGGUAGAAUUCCCGGUGUAGCGGUGAAAUGCGUAGAGAUCGGGAGGAAUACCAGUGGCGAAGGCGGCCUUCUGGACUGACACUGACACUGAGGUGCGAAAGCGUGGGUAGCAAACAGGAUUAGAUACCCUGGUAGUCCACGCCGUAAACGAUGUCGACUAGCCGUUGGGGUCCUUGAGACCUUUGUGGCGCAGUUAACGCGAUAAGUCGACCGCCUGGGGAGUACGGCCGCAAGGUUAAAACUCAAAUGAAUUGACGGGGGCCCGCACAAGCGGUGGAGCAUGUGGUUUAAUUCGAUGCAACGCGAAGAACCUUACCUACCCUUGACAUCGUGCGAACUUGGUAGAGAUACCUUGGUGCCUUCGGGAACGCACAGACAGGUGCUGCAUGGCUGUCGUCAGCUCGUGUUGUGAAAUGUUGGGUUAAGUCCCGUAACGAGCGCAACCCUUGUCCCUAUUUGCCAGCGAUUCGGUCGGGAACUCUAGGGAGACUGCCGGUGACAAACCGGAGGAAGGUGGGGACGACGUCAAGUCAUCAUGGCCCUUACGGGUAGGGCUACACACGUGCUACAAUGGUCGGUACAAAGGGUUGCAAUACCGCGAGGUGGAGCUAAUCCCAUAAAGCCGGUCUCAGUCCGGAUCGGAGUCUGCAACUCGACUCCGUGAAGUCGGAAUCGCUAGUAAUCGUGAAUCAGAAUGUCACGGUGAAUACGUUCCCGGGCCUUGUACACACCGCCCGUCACACCAUGGGAGUGGACUGCACCAGAAGUGGUUAGCCUAACUUCGGAGGGCGAUCACCACGGUGUGGUUCAUGACUGGGGUGAAGUCGUAACAAGGUAACCAAUCC
rnacentral:rRNA from 1 species